GAUGAAGAACGCAGCGAAAUGCGAUAAGUAAUGUGAAUUGCAGAAUUCAGUGAAUCAUCGAAUCUUUGAACGCACCUUGCACCCUUUGGACUGCUCCAAAGGGUAUGCUCGUUUGAGUGUCAUUGUACUCUCACACUCUCUGAUCCUUUGGAUUUGGGGAGCGGUGGACUUGGGUGCUUGCUGCUUCCUUGUGGCUCACCUGAAAUGCAUCAGUGCAUCUCUCGAUUGGACAUAGCACGGCGUGAUAAGUGUCUUCGCCGGCACCUCAUAUGAGGGUGGCCGAUCGGGAGCUCUGUGCUUUCAAACCGUCUUCGGACAACGCUGACAACUUGACCUCAAAUCGAGUAGGACUACCCGCUGAACUUAAGCAUAUCAAUAAGCGGAGGA
rnacentral:misc_RNA from 1 species